rnacentral:misc_RNA from 1 species
AAGUCGUAACAAGGUUUCCGUAGGUGAACCUGCGGAAGGAUCAUUAACCCCCCGUGAACCUUCAUCCUGCUCUUGUAACCCGCGUAGUUCGCAAUCUCUGAUAAAUCAUAGCCCGGAAAGCCAUGGCCCCUAAUAACCCCACAGUUUAAUGUGAAGCUCAAUGUAAUACAUUGGGUAAAAAAACCGAACAACUGUUAACAAUGGAUAUCUUGGUUCUC